UGAAGGUUUGAUAUAACAGUCUAUAUAUAUGAGAUUGUUUUAAGUUGUUGAUCUCUUAAUUGCAUGUGCAUCUCCAGUGUCCUGUAUUUGUACCUUCCUCUUCUCACGAUUUCUGAUUUUGGUGGCCUAAUUGUGCAUGGAUGAUUUCGUAUCUUUACUAUGUAUAUACCUUUACUGGUGAGCCUUGUCAUUUGUGAUAUUUUACUUUCCUGUUACAGCUUUUUCUUUUCUGUCUAGAGAAAUUCCUUUAGUAUUUGUUGUACAGCUGGUUUAGUAUUGCUGAAAUCUCUUAGCUUUUGCUUAUCUGUGAAGCUUUUGAUUUCUCCUUCAAAUCUGAAUGAAAGCCUUGCUGGGUAAAGUAAUCUUGGUUGGAGGUUUUUUUCCUUUCACCACGUUAAGUAUAUCGUUCUACUCCCUUCUUGCCUAUAGAUUUUUCUGCUGAAAAAUCUGCCGAUAACCUUAUUGGGGUUCCCUUGUAUGUUAUUUGUUUCUUUUCCCUAGCUGAUUUCAAUAUUUUAUCUUUUUCUUUAAUUUUGUUCGCUUGGAUUAGUAUGUGUCUUGGGGUCUUCCUCUUUGGGUUUAUUUUAUAUGGUACUCGUUGUGCUUCCUGGAUUUGAGUGAGUGGUUCCUUUCCCAUAUUAGGGAAGGCUUUGGCUAUUAUCUCUUCAAAUAUUUUUUCUGUCCCCUUCCCUCUUUCAUCUCCUUCUGGCACCCUAUAAUAUGGAUGUUGAUGUGUUUAACAUUGUCCCAGAAUUCUCUGAGACUCUCUUCAUUUGUUUUCAAUCUUUUUUCCCUUUUCUGUUCUGCAUCUGUAAUUUCCACUAAUCUGUCCUCCACCUCACUUAUUCGUUCCUCUGCCUCCUGUAUUCUGCUGUUAGCUGCUUCUAGUGAAUUUUUUAUUUCCGUUAUUAUAUUUUGCAUCUCUUCUUGUUUAAGUUUUAUAUCUUGUAUCUCUUUGGUCAGUGUUUCCUGUGAGUUAUCCAUCUUUGCCUCCAGUUUAUUUCCAAUGUCUUCCAUCAUCUUUGGCAUCAACAAUCUAAAGUUUUUUUCCUGGAGGCUGAAAAUUUCCUGAUCACUUAGCUGAUUUUCUGGGUUUUUUUCUUUCUCCCUCAUCUGAGUUAUAGUUCUCCAUCUUUUCAUUUUUAUAGAUUUUUGGUGUGGUGACCUUUUCACAGAGGGUAGAGUUGUAGCCUCUUUUACUUCUGAUGUCUGCCCCCCUUGUGGCUGAAAUUGGAAUUGGGGCUUGCUGUAGGCUUCCUGAUGGGAGGGACUGGUGCCUGCCCACUGGUAGGUGGAGCUGAUUCCUAUCCCUCUGGUGGGUAGGGCUUUGUCUCUGGAUGAGAUUAGAGGGGGAUGUGUGCCUGGAGGGUCUUUAGGCAGCCUGUUUACUUAUGGGCAGGGGCUGUGAUCCCACCUGGAUUAUUGUUUGGCCUGGGGCUUCUCAGUGCUGAUGGGUGGGGCCAGAUUUUCCCAAAAUAGCCACCUCCAGGUAAAGGCACACUGCUGAAUAUUCCUGAGACCUUUUCUUUCAAUGUCCUUCCCCCACAACAAGCCACAUUCACCCCUGUUUUCCCAGGAUGUCCCCUAAGAACUGCAGUCAGGUUUGACCCAGAUUCCUAUGGAGCCUUUGCUUUGCCCUGGAACCCAGUGCACGUGAACGUCUGUGUGCACCUUUCAAGAAUGGGGUCUUUGUUUCCCCCAGUCCCAUGGAGCUCCUGCACACAAGCCCCACUGGCCUUCAAUGCCAGAAGCUUUGGGGACUCUUCCUCCAAGUGCCAGAUCCCCAUACAUGUGAGUUUGAUAUGGGGCUCAGAGCUCUCACUCCUGUAGGUGAGUCUCUGUGAACCAGUUAGUUUCCAGUUUAUGGGGCUUCCCACCCGGGAGGUAUGGGGUUGCUUAUAUUGUGUAAUUGCCCCUCCUACCUCUUGAUGUGGCCUCCUCUUUGUCUUCUGAACUAGGAUAUCUUUUUGAAAGUUUCUGGUCCAGAGAAACAAUUUUAAAGACAUUUUUGUGUUAGAAAAAGUUACUUGAGCAUUCCUGUCAAACUGUCUAUCUUUGUGGGAUUUGAUCAUUUGAACAUAUCAGUAAUUGAGAGAAUUUGAUGGCUGCUGCAGCUACUUUUUUUUUUUUAAAUAUAUUCCUUUAAGGACUUUAUAUAAUGGUUAUCCUCUCAGAACAGUGACCCAGUGCACCUGCCCUUUUGCCCAUAGGAAAAGCUAAGCCUACUAGUUGCUGGGAAAGGACAUAUUACUUGUCUUUUUGGAUGCUACUAACAAAUGUAAAUCUUAUCUUUGUUUCCCAAAUAUCUUUCACACAUGCUUCAUUAUGUUAUCUUCAGGAGAGCAUAAUGAGGUUCAUAGGGGAAGUGCUUUAUUUGUAGCUUGCAGAUGAGAAAUCUGAGGCUGAGGAUUGUUAUUAUCCAGGGAGCACUAGAACCUUGGAUCAUUAGUUCCUAAUAGGCUUUAAUUUUCAUUGUAAUGAGAUAUUCAUAUUUCACCUACAAUAUGCCACAUAAUUUAACUGUUCAAGGGCAUGCCCCUUUCAUUUUUAGCAUCCUAAAAAGGGCUAGUAGUUGAAGAUAGUGGUCUCCAUCUUUCAUGUUGCCCAAUAUUUUUAGUGCUAUUUUUUUUUUCAUCUGUGUGUUCCAUUUUUAAGCACCAGUGUGAUCUGGUGCUUUGAGAUGAGGCACAGACCAUCACAUAGACUUAGUAUUUUUUUAUCACUCACUAAUCCCCUCCCAGCCCCCUUUUUGCCCAUUUCUUUACCUGGAAGAAAGGCUGAGUAUCUGAGUAUUUUUUUUUUUCCCAUAUGAGCCCUGCCUUUGGAUUUUAGAGCAUUUGAAUCAUAGCACCACAGUAAAAGGCAAAUAGAGAUUUAUGCAGAUGACUUUGGCAAUUCCAGGCCUCUUUGUUCACUGAACAAAAAUUCCUUUGGCAUAUUGUGUCAAAGGACUUGCUGUGCACUACCUUCAUAUCCUUUCCAGGAAGUGUAUAUGACUGAGAAGUCCUCAUCUGGAAAAUUUAGAGUAAUUAUACUAAUUAGCAAUAAACAGGGGUUGGACCUGCUGAUCCCAGAGAUCCGUUCACUUUUAAAAGCCUGGAAUUUCAAAUAUUAACAAAGAGAGAAUUUGAUCUCCGAAUGAUCUCCGAAUGAUUGGGCAGAGAGCAAAAGGACAUGAGAAAGGGAGAGUUUUGGUGUGCUUGUCAUCUAAGAAACAAGGCUCAAGAGAAAGAGAAAUCCCAGGGUGAAGGUACCAUAAUGAAAAAUACUGUAGAAACAAACUUAGAACAAUCACAGAUACUCAUAAAGGUGAAGUUUGGGUGGGUAUGGAGAUAAUGACAUGGAUCUGAAACAGAGGAAUUGGGAACCAUGAUGUCAGCAUAGUGUUACAUUGUGGAAUCCAAGCAUGUGGAUUCACAUCUCAGCACUGCCCUCACAUGUACAUCUGUCCCUGUGUAACCGAGUACCAAAGAGGACACACACCUUAGAGGAGUGAUUUCCAACUUCUUUUAGAUGUUAGAAUUUUAGAAUUUAAGACCCAUCGGGAGAGGAGUUUCUAAAAAACACAGGUGGCUGGGCCCACUUCUGUAAACAUUUCAGUCAGGAUCAGAGAUUUUCAAGGGGUUGGGAGGCAGGUAGGAGUGGAGACAGGCUGGAGAGCCUGUUUGAAAGCCACAAUUUUAUAGCCAUGAUUCUACCAUUUUUGUGUGUCAAAAUCAGCUGGAGUGUUUGUUAAAACAGAUUGCUGGGCUCUGCCCUAAUUGAAAGUAAACAUCAGGUUCAGUUUGUCCACACAUCAGGGUAUUCAUAUGUAUGAUUAUCCUAAAAAUACCUGAUACUUUUUUCAUUGAAUAUAAGCAAUGUCAUAAAAGGAACAUGAAGAAGAAGAUGAAGCAGAAUAAUCCAUGUAAGAUGAAAGACAAGUUUAACACGCACAUGGAAUUGAAUAGAAUUCAGUUGUUAGGAAUUUCGUGGUUAAAAUCUCACAUUUUCUUUCUCCUCUUGAGGUGAAUUUGCAGAUUGACUCCUCCUCACCCCACCAGUCACCUUUUAAAUAUUGACUAUAGUUGGUUUUCUCAGGUGAGAAUGUAUUUUAUUAAAUAUUGUAAGAAUAUCUCUAAUACUAGAAAGGACAAAAUGACUUCUCUCAGGUGAUAAACAUUACCAUGAAAAGAGACUGGUAUGGAUAUGGAAAAUCUGAUCCUAAAGCAUACAGAAUGCUGUCUAAGCAAUGUUAUAAUGGUGGAAUAAAUAGAAUGCUUGGUCUUUUGCUCUUAUUGAUAUCUUUUCAGAGCAACUGGAAAGUUUCAACAUUUUAAAAUUUUUCCUGGGUAUAUAAAAAGUAUAAAUAUAUACUUUUCCUUUUUAUAUAAAAUUCCUGGGUGAAUUACAUGCUCAUUUAAGUUUCAAAAGCUCUUCUAAAACAUUCCAACAUUGUAAUUCAGGAGUUGUUGGGAAGCAGAUCAUGGUCUAACAGAGAGUAUGAAGGUACCUUCCUCUAGAUACUGCUCCAGUUCAGUUAUGUGUUGGAUACAAACAAGUCUGCAGAGAAAAAAAGUGUUAAAGAAGAAAAUACAUAGUUGGCUUUCCUCCAUCUUGCUUGGCCCCAGGGUAUAAAAAUUUGGGCCUCUAUUGGGUGAGAGAAGGGUCAAAGGAUGGUGAGACACUCUCACAGCAGUGGCUAAGGCCAUUGGUUCUCUUGGUUCUAGUUGCCUUAUCUUUCUAAGGUGAACCAAGUCCUGAUAGAAAAGUAGGGGUGUGAAUAGAAAUAAUACAAGCAAUCUCACUGUAACUGCUUUUUGAAAAUAUAUCCGAGUGGAGUACAAGCAUGCAUGGGUCUAAUUUCUUCUCAGCCAGUGCCUUUGACCUCAUUCUAUUGAAUCUGGUUUUCCUAGAUCUUAAUAACAUCUUGGUCAGAUCUCUUAGCUUCCAAAUAAAUUUUCAGUUAUUAAGUCCAGUCCAGGCCAAUAUAAACCUCCAAUCAUACCUACUGCCUCUUCCUAGCUCAGGGUUCAUCAGUGACCUGAGGAGGCAUGCAAUGUGUGAGGUGAGAGGGGAAUUGCAAUUGAAAUCCACUUCUCUCCCCUCUUCCUCCUCUGAUGUGUUGGGCUAGGGAGGAGGGAGAUGGAAAGAGAAGAAGAAGAUAGAAGUAGAUGCGUAGACACAUAUGUAAACUUUUUAGGCAAUUCAUGGGAGGGAUUCCCACGUCAUAGUUACUUUCAUGGAAGAUCUGUCUCUAGCUCACACUUUCCCCUUGGCCUCUAGCUUCCUUCACUAUCAGUAUAUACAUAGCUGUAAGCUUCUGCUGCUUCCUCAAGCAACAGAAAGCCCUCUUAUUUAGGACAUGCGCCUAUAACUCAAGCUCUACUACUACCUUCCAUGGCAUUCUCUUGACAUAUGAUAAACUUAGGCAUCAUUCACACAUCACACAGCACUCAACUCGAAUGUCACCAAACACCACUUAGCUUCCCUUUUCUUCCUUCACUUCUGCCAUCCAUGUUCAGUUCUCAUCUGUUCAGACAGGCUCUAGGGAGCAGAUUAGCAAGUAACCCUGGGAGAUGAGAUAUCAGUCUCUCUUUCCUAUAGAACCCCCAAAUCCUGCAAGUGGCCCUUUCAUUGGAGCCCUUGAUGGACCUUGUUGGAUGAGCAUUUACCUUUCUUCCUCCUUCCAUGAUGAGAAGUUUCAGUUCCCUGACUGGAACUCAGAAUCAGCCUUGCACAAUUCUGCAAAUCCCCACCUACCUCUUCCCUUUUACUCUCUCUGGUUUCUGUUUCUGUCUAAGGAAGCGUGUCCUGAGGGUAGCUUUAGAGAAACAGAAUAUAUUCUCCUUUUUCAAGAUCUUGGAGGGGCUAUCUGGCUCCCCAAUUGCUUGUAACUUUAUUUAGCAAUUGGGGUACUGGAGAAUCCUGUGUCCUCAGUUUUGAGACCUUGUUGCCAAUUCCAGAACAGGAAGAAAGGUUCUAUUCAACACCCCUUUACUUUAUAAUAUACAUUAUCUAUUGAUUGCUUCCUUUGUACUAAUUGUAUUAGGCCUUUUACAUAUUUUAUUUCACUUAAUCCACUCAACACCAUAUGGUAAAUUCUAGUAGUAUUCUCAUUUAAACAAUUAAACUCUGUAAUGGACUUCUGUCUUACCUGGUUGCACAAAAUAUUUUGAAAAGCCUUCUCAUUUUGUAAUAAUUCCCUUCCAUGGAAGUCUUACUAUCCCAGUGAGGAAACUAAAAAAUGAAGCUUUGUUUCUGGAGAAGAAUGAGUGAUUUAGAUUCUACUGGUCAGAGAGACUUCGUACAGAAUUGAGUCACAUACAGGCACCUUGGGUCAGGAGCAGAGCUCUCUGAUAAUGUGAUCAGAUGACUAAAUUGGAAUCCUCUUCUAUUCAGUCCUAUGCUAAUGAAAGUGUUUCUGUUUACUUGGGAACUGAGGUAUUUUGGAAAGUAUAUUUUAAAGUGCUUAUAUUAAGAAGAUGCCUUCUGGAAAGCCUCAAAAUGAGGUCAUAGACCUGAAAGAAAUGUGCACUGCCUUAGGAAUUUAGGCUGUCGAAGGGGAUCUGGAGAAAAAUGCUGUCAGUUUAGUUUCCUUCCUCCCUCCCUCCCCUCUGUGGAGACCAGAGCACAAGCUCUCUCCUUGUGUCUCAUUCUCCCUCUGGAUGCCAGCUCUUGUCUCCCAUCAUAUAGACAUUUAUUAGUUCUCUCGUCUAGUAACAUUGUACAUCAAACCUUUUCAUCUUUGAUUAUGGUGGUUAAGUUGUUAACUUUGAUGGGAAAUCUCCUAUUUCCACCAGUUCAAUUUAUCAAAUAGUUGAAAUGGGUAUGAUUGGAAACUUUUCUCGGCUUACAUCUUCCCCUUCCCUUACUUUUUGUUAUAUAUGAGUAGAGAGAGUAGAGAUGAGAAUCUUUUUACUAAGCCAUUCUGUAAAUCUAGCAUAGCAGGCUGAAGUAUAGGAUUUGAGGUGUUCCAAAUAAAUCAUUUGGACAGUUUUUUAUCAAACAUACUUAUUCAAUCAUGCAUUGCAAGAUUCUCCUGUGCCCCAUGGCAAAUACUAGAGCAGAAACCUGUUUUUGAAAUCCCAAGCUGCUUAAACAUGCCACAUAUGUGUACCUUUUUAGCAAGCCUUACUAAUGAAGAAAUGCUGUGGAUAAUUUAUCUUAAGUUUGUAUAUAUUUUAUUAUUUCUAUGACUUAUAUCCCUCUCAGAAUCAAUGCGAUGGCUAUUUCUUCUCAGAAUACCAAGUGUCAUGUUCAUCAUAGUCUGGAAUUUCUAAAAUGUCAAAUCAUUAUUAUAGUGUUUCCUAUAGUCAAAUUAUUUUAAUUAAGAAACUAAGUCUCAGCAGGUUAAGAACUGGAUUAGUAUCCAGGAGGAUUCAGGUUUGAUCUCUGGCCAUGCUCAGUGGGGUAAGGAUAUGGCAUUGACAUGAGCUGUGGUAUAGGUUGCAGAUGCAGCUCAGAUCUGGAGUUGCUGUAGCUGUGGCAUAGGCCAGCAGCUGUUUCUCCUAUUUGACCCCUGGCCUGGGGACUUCCAUAUGCCC
rnacentral:lncRNA from 1 species